GCUUACGGCCACACCGGCCUGAGUACGCCUGAUCUCGUCCGAUCUCGGAAGCUAAGCAAGGGUCGGGCCUGGUUAGUACUUGGAUGGGAGACCGCCUGGGAAUACCAGGUGCUGUAAGCU
rnacentral:rRNA from 1 species